rnacentral:rRNA from 1 species
GUUGGCUUGGAAGCAGCCAUUCAUUCAAAGAGUGCGUAACAGCUCACUAGUCGAGAGACCGGGCAUGGAUAAUAAUCGGGUAUUAAGUCAGAUACCGAAGGCACGGGGUAGCAGAGUAAUGAAAAGUACCGGUAGGGGAGCAUUCCACCUCCGUCGAAUGGUUUCCGUGAGGAUUCCUGGAGGGCGUGGAAAAGCAAAUGUAGGCAUAAGUAACGACUAGGGGCGUGAGAACCGCCCCCGCCGCAAGUCUAAGGUUUCCCGGGCGAUGCCAGUCAGCCCGGGGUCAGUCGGGUCCUAAGGCUCAGCCGAACGGCGAGGCCGAUGGCAGACACGGUUAAUAUUCCGUGACCCUCUGCUGGAGCGACGUGGAGACGGAGCAGUGACACCACCGCGCCCUGACGGAAUAGGGCGUUGAAGGCCGUAGGUGCUGACGGAGGCAGGCAAAUCCACCUCCAGAGCUGAAAGCCGACAGUACGCUUCCUCCUCCGGGAGGCGGCGACAGCGUGGGUAAUCAUACUUCCUAGAAAAUCCGCUAAGCAUAUCCAUCGGAGGCCCGUACCGCAAUCCGACACAGGUAGACGGGUAGAACAUACUGAGGCGUUGGGAGAUUCAUGGCUAAGGAACUAGGCAAACUGACCCCGUAACUUCGGGAUAAGGGGUCCUCACGGCAACGUGAGGCGCAGAGAAUAGGCCCAGGCAACUGUUUAACAAAAACACAGGGCUGUGCAAACUCGAAAGAUGAUGUAUACAGCCUGACACCUGCCCGGUGCCGGAAGGUUAAGAGGAGGAGUCAGCCCCUUGUGGGUGAAGCCCCGAGUUGAAGCCCCGGUAAACGGCGGCCGUAACUAUAACGGUCCUAAGGUAGCGAAAUUCCUUGUCGGGUAAGUUCCGACCUGCACGAAUGGUGUAAUGAUCCGGACGCUGUCUCAACCAUGAGCUCAGUGAAAUUGUAGUAUCGGUGAAGAUGCCGAUUACCCGCGAUGGGACGAAAAGACCCCGUGAACCUUUACUACAGCUUAGCGCUGACCUUGGUCAUCCGAUGUGUAGGAUAGGCCGGAGGCUUCGAAGCGGGGACGCCAGUCUUCGUGGAGCCGCCCUUGAAAUACGGCCCUUUGGCUGUCCGAGGUCUAACGCGCUUUUUGCGCGGACACCGCUUGGCGGGUAGUUUGACUGGGGUGGUCGCCUCCAAAAGUGUAACGGAGGCUUCCAAAGGUGCCCUCAGGCCGAUUGGUAACCGGCCUCUAGAGUGCAAUGGCAUAAGGGCGCUUGACUGGGAGGGAGACAUCCCGAGCAGGCAGGAAACUGGGGCAUAGUGAUCCGGCGGACGCGUAUGGAAGCUCCGUCGCUCAAAGGAUAAAAGGUACUCCGGGGAUAACAGGCUGAUCCCCCCCA